rnacentral:rRNA from 1 species
UAAUACGAAGGUGGCAAGCGUUGUUCGGAUUUACUGGGCGUACAGGGAGCGUAGGCGGUUGGGUAAGCCCUCCGUGAAAUCUCCGGGCCUAACCCGGAAAGUGCGGAGGGGACUGCUCGGCUAGAGGAUGGGAGAGGAGCGCGGAAUUCCCGGUGUAGCGGUGAAAUGCGUAGAGAUCGGGAGGAAGGCCGGUGGCGAAGGCGGCGCUCUGGAACAUUUCUGACGCUGAGGCUCGAAAGCGUGGGGAGCAAACAGGAUUAGAUACCCUGGUAGUCCACGCCUUAAACGAUGGAUACUAAGUGUCGGCGGGUUACCGCCGGUGCCGCAGCUAACGCAUUAAGUAUCCCGCCUGGGAAGUACGGCCGCAAGGUUGAAACUCAAAUGAAUUGACGG